AGCGAACGCUGGCGGCAGGCCUAACACAUGCAAGUCGAACGAACCUUUCGGGGUUAGUGGCGGACGGGUGAGUAACACGUGGGAACGUGCCUUUAGGUUCGGAAUAACUCAGGGAAACUUGUGCUAAUACCGAAUGUGCCCUUCGGGGGAAAGAUUUAUCGCCUUUAGAGCGGCCCGCGUCUGAUUAGCUAGUUGGUUGAGGUAAUGGCUCACCAAGGCGACGAUCAGUAGCUGGUCUGAGAGGAUGAUCAGCCACAUUGGGACUGAGACACGACCCAAACUCCUACGGGAGGCAGCAGUGGGGAAUCUUGCGCAAUGGGCGAAAGCCUGACGCAGCCAUGCCGCGUGAAUGAUGAAGGUCUUAGGAUUGUAAAAUUCUUUCACCGGGGACGAUAAUGACGGUACCCGGAGAAGAAGCCCCGGCUAACUUCGUG
rnacentral:rRNA from 1 species